rnacentral:rRNA from 1 species
CGCGUAGGGUGCGAGCGUUGUCCGGAAUUAUUGGGCGUAAAGAGCUCGUAGGCGGUGUGUCACGUCGGCCGUGAAAACCUGCAGCUUAACUGUGGGCGUGCGGUCGAUACGGGCAUCACUGGAGUUCGGCAGGGGAGACUGGAAUUCCUGGUGUAGCGGUGAAAUGCGCAGAUAUCAGGAGGAACACCGGUGGCGAAGGCGGGUCUCUGGGCCGAUACUGACGCUGAGGAGCGAAAGCGUGGGGAGCGAACAGG